AGCAGACUCUGAGGCCUCCUUCUCUUGCAGGAGGAAGGCCCCAAGAGGAUCACAGGCUCCAGCCAGCUGGACGCUCCCCCUCACAGAGGCCUCUCUGUCCCCACCGCUGCUAGCUCCUCCUUUGCCCCCACUUCCAGACUGGCCUGUCCUGCCGGCUGCAGGACAAAGCCACUUUCUCCUGUGUCCCCAGAUGCCCAUCCGGUAACCAGUUCCCUUGGGCUCCUGGUCCUCCGCGGAUACCUCCUCCUGGGUCUCACAACUUUGUUCCCCCCCAGAUCCUCUGUUUCAGCCUCUGUUUUGUUUCUGGCAGGGAUCAAAUUACUCCAGAUGAGGUCCUUAGCCGGCAUUCUUGCUCCAGGAGUCUAUCUCAAGGCUAACUAGGAGCGCCCUCCAGGAGCAGGAGGUGCUCAGGGACUGUCUGGCUGGACCCCUGCCUCCACCUUUGCCUGUCCUCUAGGACCUGCCCUGGUCCCAUCCACCCCCACCCUGGCUCCUGGACCCUGAGUGUCACCCACAUGUUUCCUGCUGCCUCUGCUUUCUAAGUACUCUAUUCGUUUCAGAACACCUCUGGACAGGCUCCUGCCCAGAGGCCUCCCUUCAGCACCUCCUGGGUAGGCCUCAGCCAGCCUCUCUCCUGGGUCCUGGCCUGUGUCUCAGGCCCCAGGGCAGUUGUCAUUGAGGAGUUGGCCAACUCCCCUGGCUCUACUGCUCUAUGGGGUUAUACACUCUUUCAGGGUAAGGAAUUUGGGUGGGGCCCCCAAAAGGCUAUGAUCUCAGAGUCACCCCAUGGAGCUUGGUCACAGAAGCCUAUUCCUGGUUCCCCUUUUAGUGGCAGGUCAACGAUCCUCUACAGACUCAUCUUCCAUACCUACUCUCCUUUCAAUACUCCACUUGCCCCAGUCCUUAGUGUACCCUCAUUUCCUCACCCCUAAGCUCUGUGCCUGGUGGCCCUCCUACCAGGAAGGCCCUCUCCUCUGUAUCUACUCCUGGCUGAUAUAUAUGCUCUUCAAAACUUCAUCCAGAGCUGGGUGCAAUGGAGCAUGCCUGUAAUCCCAGUGACCUGGGAGGUUGAGGCAGGAGAAUUGCAAGUUCAAGGCCAGACUCAGCAAUUAUGGAGGCUCUAAACAACUUAAUGAGACCCUGUCUUAAAAAAUAGCCAGGCUGGUGGCAUAAGCCUGUAAUCCCAGUGGCUUGGGAGGCUGAGGCAGGAGGAUCACAAGUUCAAAGCCAGCCUCAGCAACUUAGCAAGGCCCUAAGCAACUUAGUGAGACCCUGUCUCAAAAUAAAAAAAUAAAAAGGGCUGGAGAUGAGCUAAGUGGUUAAGUGCCCCUGGGAUGUUCAAUCCCCAGUACCCAAUAACAAACAAACAAAGAAAAACUUUUCCCAGGUACUGAUCCUUUUACCCCCCAAGGCCCAGUUAUACACCCGUACCUUAGAUGCCUGGCUAGGAUGGCUGUCCCCCCAAGAGUCCUUGUGCUGUUUGGGAGAGGGUGAGGCCACUCCCAAACCUAACAUUGUCCUGGUUCACCAUGGUGCUCAGGAGACAGACAGGACACAGGAAACCUUAUCUAAAGAGGCCACAGUGGAAAGGCCAUCUUUGGGUGGGACACAAGCCAGGAUAAGGCCUGUGGGAUGGGGAGGCCAAGGGCCAGCUCUGUGGGACUGGAACUGGAGGUCAGUGUGGGUAUGCAUGUCAGCUACCAGCAGUGCCCAGGCCAGGCAGGGCCCCCAGCUAACCUGAGCAUAUUGUGCAGAGGAAACAGGGCUUUUCAGAGUGUCCAAAACCCUAGGGGAGGUAGCCUUAGCUGGCUCUGGGCCUGUGGUUUCCCCAUGGCCCCUGGAUGGCCCUGGUGGAGUCAGUGCCUGGCCUCAGGUGUGGACUGAGGCAUAGCCCCUAUGUUCUGCCUGGCCUGAGCUCUGACCACAUCCUCCCUCCAAGCUGCUUCCCAGCCCAGCUUGACCUUCCACCGACUCAGAAGCUCUCAGCUUUGCCAUCACCCCUGGCCCUUCUAGAGCCCUCCCAUGACUUAUUUUGAGGCACCCAUCCCAGUUUUAAUUGUUCUCAUGUACCAGCCCAGAGCUCCUCUGGGGGAGGUGGGCACGUGGCCAGGCCCCUCUGCCCCAGUGUAGCCCCAGCACUGGGCAUGGAGAGAGGGACCUGCAAGUGCUAUCCAGUCCCUGAGUCUUUCACAGGGUUACAGCCUCUGGCCCUGCUCCCCUGAAUCCCUGGGACAAGGCCCUAAGCCAAGGUGAGCUGGCCACAAGCCUGCCUCUGCAGGUGUCCACAGGUUGCUGCCCACCUUGGCUUUGCUGACACUUCAUGUCCCUGUCUGUCCAAGGAGGUCCAUUCUUCUGGUCCUAGGAGUGCCUCUGGCUGCACAAACCUUAACUUUCCAAAGGCACUGAUCCUACCUCCACCCCCGUCUUAAAGCAGGUUUUGGGGGCUCCUGACCCAGAGGGUUUAAGAAUUCAUGCUUUGGGCUAGGGCUGUAGCUCAGUGGCAGAGUGCUUGCCUAGCCUGUGUGAGGCACUGGGUUCCAUCCCUAGCACCACAUAGAAAUAAACAAAUAAAGGCAUUCUGUCCAUUUACAACUAAAAAAAAAAAAAAAAUUGUUCUGAUAUCUGGGUUCAAAGGGCACGUGCCUUCUCUCUUGCCCAGCCCUACAAGGGUGAUAAAGGUGUCUAUGGACCCUGGCCUGGGGUGUGGAGCCUUUUCUGCUUACACAAUUCCCUACUUCCAGUCCCUCCACCUCGGAAGAUGGCCAGUGGCUGCCCUUCUACCACACAAAUCAUCAGAGCAGAACAGAGUGGCUAUUCAUUCAGCAAGCUCCCUGCCUGUUGGCCACAGCCCAGUCACAGCGAUGCUAGGCCUUGUUCAGUCAACAAACUUGUGCUGAUCUAAGGAGAUGGGGGCUGAGCAACAGGCCCAGCACCCCUCCUUCAUUUUACUUGUCACCCUAGGGACAGGCCCCUGAGAACGCAGGGAGGCAGCAGUCCUGAGUCACAUGGCUUUCUGAGGCUGAGUGGUCAGGCAGGAGGACCAGGAAGGCCUGAGGCAAGUUUAAGACUGGGGGUGGGGGGACUGGGGAUACAGCUCAGUUGGUAGAGUGCUUGCCUUGCAUACAUAAGGCCCUGGGUUCAGUCCCCAGCACUACACACACACACACACACACACAGACUGGGGGGCACCCUCUUCUGGUCUAGGGGUAUUUAUUGUGGCCUGGUUCCUGUGGGCUUUCGACUCAGGGAGACACACUGUCUUGUCACUGGCUUUACCUGAGGGUAAAGCCCCUUUACAUUUUGGGUCCAGAAC
rnacentral:lncRNA from 1 species